rnacentral:rRNA from 1 species
AUUGAACGCUGGCGGAAUGCUUUACACAUGCAAGUCGAACGGCAGCACGGGUGCUUGCACCUGGUGGCGAGUGGCGAACGGGUGAGUAAUAUAUCGGAACGUAUCCAAUAAUGGGGGAUAACUAGCCGAAAGGUUAGCUAAUACCGCAUACGCCCUGAGGGGGAAAGCUGGGGAUCGUGAGACAUAGCGUUGAUGGAGGGGCCGAUAUCUGAUUAGCUAGUUGGUGGGGUAAGAGCCUACCAAGGCGACGAUCAGUAGCUGGUCUGAGAGGACGACCAGCCACACUGGAACUGAGACACGGUCCAGACUCCUACGGGAGGCAGCAGUGGGGAAUUUUGGACAAUGGGGGCAACCCUGAUCCAGCCAUUCCGCGUGAGUGAAGAAGGCCUUCGGGUUGUAAAGCUCUUUCGCAAGGGAAGAAAACUCGAUCUCUACUAUAGGUUGAGGCUGACGGUACCUUGAUAAGAAGCACCGGCUAACUACGUGCCAGCAGCCGCGGUAA